ensembl:lncRNA
GGAAGGCUCACUUCUGUGAUGCGAUAGCGCCUUUAAUCCCACUAAGCAUUUAAACAGCAAAAUGCUGUUUAAAUUUUCAAACAACUUAAUGAGGUGCUAAUGUGUUUAGACAACCUGUGUGAAGCACCUAGGGAAAUUCCUUAAGGGAAGCCAUAACCUCAUGAAAUCCGUGCCAGCUUGAGAGCAAAUGAAACUGUAACACUGCACAGCCUUGAAAAGUCCAAUCGAAAUAUUAAUGUUACUCAUUUAUGACGCAGUUGCAGAAAACAAGAGGUUCCUCGGCAAAUAAAAAUAGAAGAAGUGUUAACAGCACCGAUAGAAGUUGUUUGCUGAGCAAUUUUGAUCUACACCUUUCAGAAAAAGAGUGAGCUACCUACUCCUGCUUUCUCAUCAUGACUGUAUUAUCUACUUUCUAAUGAGAAACUAAAAUGCUGCAAUUUGGUCAUAUUGUGCUGUUCAUGGGAUUGCUUACAGUACUUUAGUUUGAAAAGUAUUUUGGCUUUGUCUAUUUACCAUUCACUAGGAUAAGAUACAGCUUUUGUGUUACACCAGCAAAUGUAUUUAAGGAAUGAUUAUAGAAUGAACGGGCUUCACUAGGGAGCCAAGGAAAUUAAUUUUUUUAUGGGAGAAGUUCCAAACAGGUGGAAGAGAAAGUGCGCCAGGAGACAACCUACCAACGACAGACUUGAAUUUUCUCAUUAGGCUUCUUGGAACUACAGCCGACAGGAAUUAGCACCGCUUCUCCUUGUUAUAAGCCUUCUGAAAAACAGCUACAACUUUAAAAUACAGAAAAGCCAACGGGAAUUUCAUGUCUGGAGUGACGGUAUAGUUGAAACAUGACCUCUCUACAAAGGCAUAUGCAUUUCACUGUGAGAGAUUUGCUUUGAGAGAUAGCUGCUUAAUGUUUCUCACCUUUCAUAAACCUCAAAUUCAUCACAAUACUUUCUCAAAAUUAACUUUGCCCUGUAAAAGGCCAAAAGCUAAAAGAAAGGCACAGAAGAGUUGAAGGCCAUUUCUAGUAUUGCAGUCACACAGCAAUCAGCUAAACUGGCCUAGAGCAAAACAAGCCUGAAUUCUGCAGUCUGCUUACUCCUUGCUUUGUGGGUAAGAUGAACCAGCCAGGAACCCGAGCAAUGUUCAGUACCAGUAGCAGACCCAUUCCUUCUGUCUUCUUAAUAGCUACAGGGGAAAAUAAAUCCUUUUUGAACCCUACAAUUAGUCUGUGCAGAAACAAUAGACUACAAACUCAGCACAGCAGCAGAAAUAAAGGAGUACUAAACUUCUGAAUUCUGAAUCACCUCUGUGCUAUGCCUGAAUAUUUUCCAUAAAUUUAUCAGGUUCCAUCUUUAAACAGUUAUUGGUUUUCCUCCCCUAUUCUCACGUGUCUAUCCAAAAACUUGUCUACUAGUUAGAAGUCUUUUCACUGAUAAUGUGAUUCCUAGCAGCUCUACACCGCUCUCCUCUAAUUUACACUGUUGUUCCUACAACUGUGGGCUAUAUUUUGAAUAACAACUGGCACUAAGCAGAUGCAAAGCUGAUUUAAGCCACUUGGCUGAUUCUAAAUUGCCUUUAUGAAGAAAUUCUUAACUCAGAGGGCAGUGAGGCACCGGCCCAGGCUGCCCAGAGAUGUUGCCCCACCCCUGGAGGUGUUCAGGACCGGGCUGGGUGGGGCUGUGAGCAUCCUGAGUUGCUGGAAAGUGCCCAUGCCCAGAGGGAUUGGGAUUGGGAUUGGAAGAUCUUUAGAGUCCCUUCCGACUCAAAGCAUUCUAUGAUUCUACAGUUUUGCGGAGGCCACCUUCAGAAAUGUGGAAGUUUGUUGGCUACUCUUCUGUGCAGUCUUGUUGAACCAGCUCAGAGAUGGCUAGCUGUGGCCUAGGAGGAGCUGUGCAGUGCCCAGAUAUUCCAGUAGCUCUGCAAGAAUCAGUUUGGGUCUAACAGAGGUAACAGCACCAGCAUAGCACUCAGUCUAAGCUCUGUAUUAGGUCCUGCAAGAUACUGUGUUGUCUCUCACCCUGUUCUGUGAUGCUCUCAGUUAUGCAAACACAGAAGAGUAUCAUCCAAGUUCAGACCUGGCAAGGUCUGCUAGAUCUGGUGCCAGUCAUGCAAAAGCAGUCACGCUGCUUCAUGGUUUUAACAGGCCUUUCAAGCAGUUGUCUGCCCAUGCAGUAUCUGGUAUCUCUGCACUGAACCCAGUCCUAUUUCUGUUCCUCUUCAUAAUGGUUUUAAAUUUAUUUAUUUAUUUAUUUAUUGAGACAUAAAUUGUGUCUGCCCAAUAACUCAGAAGGAUAACCAGGAGCAUACAGGAGUAACCACCUCACAAUGCCAGAGCAUUUGACUGC